rnacentral:rRNA from 2 species
GCUUGCAUUCAUAUCAUCAUUGUCUAUGAUCUCAACUCAUAAAUUAAGUAAGGUUGGGUUUUGUCAGUUCUUGGAUAGGAGGCCUCCAAGGAAAACCCAGAUGGUGCAGGCA